rnacentral:lncRNA from 1 species
AAAAUUGCUUGCCUGCUAUGCAAAGGCUAAAAGAACAAAACAAAAACCCCUCAUCCACAACUGCUAAAAUGCUUCCCUGCCUGCACUGACUAGUCAAAAAAACCAGAAUGGCAAACAAAAGAUUUGUUACUAAAAAUUCAAGGCCACCUGGAGAUUGUUUUUUCUUAUACAAUUCAGCCAGUCCUAGCUAAAAAUAAAGAAGUACAAUUCCUAACAGAAUAAUGCUAGCCCAGCACUUUGAGGGGACAACAAAGGACUAAGGAAAAAAAAUUGGACUUAAUAAUAGACUCCAGGUGGACUUAGCCUAAGUGCCACUCCCUUAAAGCCUCCCUGCCCUCAAAGGUGGCUAAAAGGGUUUUAACACUGACUUUUAGUUGCCAAUCACUCCUGCCAAUGCAGGAUGCAGGACCAGACCAAUAACCCGGGAAAGGUCUAUUCUGUCACCAAGGGACAAUCAAAGCCUAACUACAAGAUGAUUCAUCAUAGAUACUUUCGGAAAAACAUCUUCAUCAAGAGAGGGAAAGGUGAAAGCUGUCAGAAUCAAGAGUCAUGUUUCCAAAAGCCCUGACAAAUGGAGCCAGGGAAGUCCAUGAAGAGAGGGAUUUUACGCACUACCUCAAAGACCCAGAAGAAACCACGCCAGCUUGCACAAACACUAUUCGCAACCUUACACAGAAAAUACUUUUGGGACAUCUGCCUAGAAGCCGAUUGUCCAAACCCGAACUGGCAGCAUCCUUGUUAUUAAUCCUUGUAGCCAAGAAUAAUUAUUUCAAGACAAUUAUAUAAUCUUUAUCUGUCCUUUAAAAACCUGUCUUCCUUUACCUUCCUGAAUACACACAGUUUACUAUGGCAUGCAUAUUGCCUUCACAAUGCCCUAUUCCCAAAUAAACAUCAUUUUCUUUUAGAAAGCCUCUGUUAUUUAGGUUGACAGUUAUUACACCUGAAAACUAAAUUCUAGCUGAUCAAUAAAAUUCUUUGGUUCUACUGUAUACUUUUAUUUGGGGAUAUCUGCUUCCAAACACACUAAAGUACAGUAUACUCAAUUUUAAAUAUAGACAGUAUAUUUAAAAAAAACAUAAAAAGUAUGUCGAACAUUUUUAAUUUCAAACACCAAACUUAAAUAGACUAAUAACACAGAUCUUCUGUGGUCCACAAAUCAUGGCAAAAAACUUUGUUUUCAUAUGCCCAUUAUGGCUUGCUGACUGGCUUACUGCAUUUUAGAUUUUCCUUAUGA